CUUUGUCUGGGCUUGAGGUGCCCCUUCCAUAUUAUCAUUUCUAUCGGUGUGGUCCCCACUCAGGUCUUCUUUAGGCAACUACAUUGAUGAGAUUUCAAGAGUAGAAUUUUGACAGUUCUAGGAGAUACAACAGCACAGCGAACUCCCUGUUUCUUAGGUUGUUACAAUAUGGCUGCCUCUUGCAGUGUAACUUCUGAACCUUAGAUGUGGGGGAUGUAGAUGUUGUAGAUGUAAUCAGGUGGGGCUGGGCACCACACAGCCACUUGCUGUCUGCAUUUCAACCUACAUGGCUCUCUGCAAUGCUCUUUGUCUGCUACAAAGAGAAGAUUCUUUGGAGAGGAAUAACACCCAAUCAUCUGUGGGCUUAAGGACACACACAUAUAUAUACUGUAGCUAGGAAUUAUGAUCACUUAUUAAUGUGGUGGUUAUAGAUUCUCCUCCAAGAUUGGUGACUUUACUAGCCCCUGAUAGUUGGCUAGGUUUCUAGUGUAGGCAUGAUUUCCCUCAUGUUGAAUGGACAUUAAGUCCAAUUAGAGUGCUGUUGGUUACCACAAAGGUGUGUGUGUGUGUGUGUCAGUGUUUCAACCUUAGAGAUACUGUGUCAUGGGAUCAAGUUGUUCAGAGGUAUCAUAGCUGGGGAGUACUACUGGUGUCUGCCCUUCUUUCUGGUACCUUGAGAGCUAGCCUACAGAAUGGAGACUUUCAGGCCAUCUCUAGUGGGUCCUCUGUGUAUUGUGUCUGAACUCACAGUGUCUUCAGCAAGUGAGAUUUACUUUUAACCUCUGGGAGGUAAGCAAGAAUAACUGUAAUAUCUAUGAUAUUUUUGUGAGUCUCUUAGAUAUUUCUGACCAACGACUCAAAAAGGGAGCUUCCCGGCCUGGUGUUGAGCUUUUUAUUGGAUACUUUGUGGCUCUUGGGGAAGAAAUUGUCAUCCCAGAUGGGGAAAGAUCAUUUGAACUAUAUAAACUUCUCAGUACUACAUGCAAUCUUAGGUAAAUAGAUAGUAACAGGACGUCUUAUGACAUUUUCAGAAUCCUUAUUUUUAUUUUCCCUCCCUCCCUCCUUCUGGAUUUAUCUCCUACCCCUCCUAUUUGAAGCACCUCUGUUUUUUCAUCUCCUUCUUCAAAUCACUCCCACACUGCUGUAACCAGUUACUCCACAUCACAGACUCAGAUCUGAGGAUUUGGAACUAGGAGCCUCAGAUGAGAGAGCAAUUAUGAUUUGUUCUUUGGGCCUUUAAUACUACAUUUUUUUCCCUAUCCAUCUACCUGAAAAUUUCACUUCAUUUUUAUAGCUGAAUAGUAUUCCACGCCAUAUCUGUACCACAUUUCAUUAUCCUUCAGUUGGUUGAAGGACACUUAGGUUGUUUGAUUUCCUAGCUAUUGUGUGACUAGAACAGCAGUGAGCAGCAGGUAUCUCUGGAGUAGGAUGUCAAGUCCUUUGGGCGUACACUGAGGAGCUGUGUUCCUAGUCCAUAUGGUAGAUUCAUUUUUGGCGUGUUAAGAAUUCUCCAUCUUGAUUUCUAGAGUGCCUGGAUGAGCUUGCAAUCCUACCAGUGCUGAACAAGACUUCAUUCAUUCAUGACCCUUUCCUUUGCAUCCUCUCCAUCAUUUAUUGGUGGUUGAUUGGUUGAUCUCUGCCAUUCUCACUGGGCUAAGAUGAAAUCACAAAAUUAUUGGAAUCACAUUUUCCUAAGUUCUAGGGGUGAUGAACUUUUUUAUUUUUUAUUUUUUUAGAUUUUUUUUUAACCACGCUAAUGGGAUAUCACCCAACUGGUCUAGUGCCCCGUGCUUUGAAAGACUCCUUCCUAAAAAGGUAUAAAGUAAUGCUGAGUGAGAAAGGUGGGUUAGACACUGAGCAACUUUAAUGGUAUUCUUUGCUUUGGUAGAUACCAAGACUUUAUCCAUUUUGGAUUUUGGUGCUUUGGGUUAACAUUAACUAAGAAGAAAAAUAUUGCUGGAAGUCUUGAAUUUUUAAUAUGAAUGGCAUUCCAGGAAGGGUUCCAGUAGGCAGGCAGGACAGCGCAUGCCCAGCCCCUAGCACAGACAAUGGCAAAGAUUAGAGCCUUAUAAAUAAUUGCUGAAUGUCUGUCAAAUGAAUGAAGGGUGAAUGAACAAACAUGCAGAGCUUGCCACUAGGACUUUUUUUCAGGUGUGAGUAUACACCAGCUUUUAGCUAGUCUGGGGAAUUUUUUUUUUUUUUUUGACCUUACCUGAUUGCUUGAGAAGGUUUUCCCUGCAACACUCAGAUGGAGCUGUCUGUUCAAAUCUGAUCCGACAGCAAUCUGCUUUGUCAAACACCGGACGCUGGAAGACGGGCUUUUCACAGCUUUAAGCGGCAUGACAUGGAUAUCACAGAGUGUUGCUUAGAAUCACCUGCUGGCAAUCACUGUUACCCUAGGGUUAGCUGAAUUGCAGACUAGGUCUAAUUUGAUUUCUCCUAUUUAAUUGACAGUUUUAAUGGAGCGCUAGAAAGAACACAUUUCUAGGGCAACAUAUGGCUAAGUCUAAAAUAGCCAAGGUCAAAUUUCCAGUUGCCUUGUAGCACUUGGGUUUAGCUGACAGCCUACUGGAUUCUCAUUGCCUUGGGGUAUCAGUCAUGGAGCAGUAAUGAGUGAACAACUAGGAUCAUAGCACUGAUGGCUGGCUUUUGCCCCUGGACAACCAGGAGAGUGAGUAACUGUCACUGCAUUCCUAUGGACAGCAGACUGCUUGUCUUUGGAUGCUACCUAGGUCACCUUGUUGCUUGACCCAGUAUUAGAUCCACAGGUGAGAGUUUUUAUUGACAUUUUUCUUUGAGGUACAUGAUUUCAUGACUAUAAUUGG
rnacentral:lncRNA from 1 species